rnacentral:misc_RNA from 1 species
UUAAGCCCAAAGGGUUGGAAAACACAUUAACCAUCAAACAAUCAAUGAAACCAUCGAUCCAGCUACAUACUAUUAUUGAACUUUGACAAAUUAAUGCCGAUUCCCCGACAGACUUACGGAAUGCUGUCAAGAUACCAAAACUAGCCUCAAGUUACAGAAGACAAAUAUUAUUUCAAAUGGUCCUACUUGAAUUAUCUCACUGUUCUACAGCCCCACUGCUUUCUCAACCUUCUGGAUUUGAUUCAAGAAUAUCAAAGUCAUCAUGGCAUGAGGUGCAAUUCGCACAAAGUAGACAGGAAAACCAGUGUAAAACUUGAAAGGUCCACCGCUUUUUAAGGUUUUCAGGGCACAGUCGAGAGACCCGGUAUAGGGAUACUUGCCAGUAGCAUCUGGCUGCAUCUUCUGUAUUUGUGUUUUGACAUAGUCGAAGGGCAAGCUGCAAGCAGAUGCAAAGAACCCUGAGAUAGCACUUGCCCCAAAUACGGUACUAACUUCCCCAAAACCAGAAUCCCUGAAAAACUCUACACUCUGGUCAUAGGAAGCAAGCAUGCCCAUAUUCAAAGCCAUUGCUCGCACAACAGUGGGACCUGCACCUUUCCAGAGUGCUAGAACGCCUUCGUCAGCAGCAAUCCGGUAGAGUGCAUGGAAGGCGUUUGAGUAAUUGCGUUUUUGUGCUGCGGGUAGAGUAGUGUCAGCCUGCAUACGGAUGAGUGCCAGAUCCGCCGGACUGCCAAUACAAGCUCCAAUUGCUCCAGCUGUCAACCCGAUACCAGCUUUCUGAAUAAGAGGCAGGGGCUUUCCAUCAUUUGCCUCGACUGCCUUGUUAGUCAACACCCUGAAAGAACCAAGUCGCGCGGUUGUAUAAGUAGCUUGCCUGAGCAACCCAGCAGAAAGACCCUUGUAGAACGCCCCGAGUCCCUCCUGUUGAAGCAUGAGCUUCGUCGCCCGCAGCGCCGGCCCCUGCCCCAGCUGCAGCCUAACCUUAACCAUGUCGAUCGGCUGGAUGACGCAUGUCGCCAGCAUCCCCGACGCGCCGCCGUUCACAAACGGCUUCACCGUCGUCCACACUCCGGCGGGCGGCGCUGCCUUCUCUGCUGCCAUCUCGCCGCCGGAGACGAAGUGAGAGAUUGGGAAUCGGGCGGGG